CCUAAAGGCAAUAGCUUGACCUACAGGAGGGGCUGGAGCCAAAAGAUCAGCCAUGUGGGCAGUAUGUGGUUGAGCCCCAUGAAAACUCUGGACCCCAAAGGCUUGACUGAGCCUCCCUGGUUGGUAAUUCUCUGUGCAUUGCCACACAUUAUGGCCUGGAGGUGGUGAUGCUGUGCAUGCCCCCACAGGACAAGGAUGACCAGAAGCUCUGUGUGUGGACUGCUCCCAGACUCCGCCAUAUUUUAACCUGUAUCCUGUCCCUGUGUGCUCUGCUUGAGCAUAACAGCUGUCAGUGAUUUCUCUUCACCCAGAUUUGGGAAAACAAUAUUUGGAGUUCUUCCAUACAAAAACAAGGUGCCCACCUAAUCCUAACCUUGCCCAUAGCUGAGGAUUGUUCCAUUCUGGAAACACUGGUGGAACUCAUGGUGCCAGACACCAGGCCUAGUGCUAGAAGCACAAAGCUGGACAAGACAUGGUCCCUACUUUCAGAAGCUCAGAGUCGUGUAAAUCUUACCAUUUGUCUGCCAGAGAUUGAUGGGUACUUAACUGUUUACAACCGUGAUGAGAACAGAGAGUGGAAAAUACAUAUCAGUAAUUAUUAACCAAUGGCAAUUGCAGCAAAGAGAAGCUGAUUCUUACAAUUGGUGUGGGAUGUGUACUUUGAGUAAUGAGGCUAAUACUCAGAGAUGGCGUCCACAGAACACCAAGACACCUGGCCGAUUUGAUCAUUUGAAUCAAGAAAAUAUUCAGACUCAAUGAUUUUGAUGCUCUGUCAUGUAUAUUCACAUUUGUCAACUGAAAUAAAGUUCAACUUGAGAAAUAAA
rnacentral:lncRNA from 1 species